rnacentral:rRNA from 1 species
AACGAACGCUGGCGGCAUGCCUAACACAUGCAAGUCGAACGAGACCUUCGGGUCUAGUGGCGCACGGGUGCGUAACGCGUGGGAACCUGCCCUUAGGUUCGGAAUAACUUCCCGAAAGGGGUGCUAAUACCGGAUAAUGUCUUCGGACCAAAGAUUUAUCGCCUUUGGAUGGGCCCGCGUUGGAUUAGCUAGUUGGUAGGGUAAAAGCCUACCAAGGCGACGAUCCAUAGCUGGUCUGAGAGGAUGAUCAGCCACACUGGGACUGAGACACGGCCCAGACUCCUACGGGAAGCAGCAGUGGGGAAUAUUGGACAAUGGGCGAAAGCCUGAUCCAGCAAUGCCGCGUGAGUGAUGAAGGCCUUAGGGUUGUAAAGCUCUUUUACCCGGGAUGAUAAUGACAGUACCGGGAGAAUAAGCUCCGGCUAACUCCGUG